AUGGAAGCGAUGAUCCUUUCCCCAGCUGAUCGACUAAGAUUAUAAUGUGCAUUUUGUUUAAAUAUCUUUUUCAACAGAAGAGGUUUUCCGAGCUUAGUAUUCUGCUCCAU